GCCUCACCCUGGUCUUCAGCAUCAAUGAUAUUUCCUCCAGCCCUAGGCAUGCCUUUAAAUGCUGAAUGGAAUGGCUGCAUGAUCAAGUUGUGGAAAAGUUUACUUGCAUACCAUCUCCAAGGAUCUGGCACAUCUAAUAGUUUCACUUUGGUUCUUCAGCAGUUUCUUUCGAAAUUGCUCAUUACACUUCUGGGG